GAUGAACGCUGGCGGCGUGCCUAAUACAUGCAAGUCGAGCGAACAGAUGAGGAGCUUGCUCCUCUGACGUUAGCGGCGGACGGGUGAGUAACACGUGGAUAACCUACCUAUAAGACUGGGAUAACUUCGGGAAACCGGAGCUAAUACCGGAUAAUAUAUUGAACCGCAUGGUUCAAUAGUGAAAGACGGUUUUGCUGUCACUUAUAGAUGGAUCCGCGCCGCAUUAGCUAGUUGGUAAGGUAACGGCUUACCAAGGCAACGAUGCGUAGCCGACCUGAGGGGGUGAUCGGCCGCACUGGAACUGGGACGCGGUCCAGACUCCUGCGGGAGGCAGCAGUAGGGAAUCUUCCGCAAUGGGCGAAAGCCUGACGGAGCGACGCCGCGUGAGUGAUGAAGGUCUUCGGAUCGUAAAACUCUGUUAUUAGGGAAGAACAAAUGUGUAAGUAACUAUGCACGUCUUGACGGUACCUAAUCAGAAAGCCACGGCUAACUACGUG
rnacentral:rRNA from 1 species